rnacentral:lncRNA from 1 species
AGCAGGAACCAUCACAGGGAAUCAUGGGAGUGUGGGACAGGGGCCCAGACACAGCCUAGAGGGGUCCAGAAGGCUUCCUGGAGGAGGAGGGAACUCUCAAGAGCACAUUUUUCAAGACCAGGCAGAGGGAGGAGGCUGCGUAGGGUGGAAAUGGUGCUCUAGGCAGGCCACAGCUGGAGUAAAGCCAUGAAGAUCAGAACCAGCUGAGUUAUUCAGAGAACCACCGUGGUUUGGGUAUUGCCGGAGAGCCCAGCACAAAGAAGAGUGGAGGGAGGCUGGCUGCGGAGGCAGGUGGGGACCAGACCAUGGCCGCUUGGGAGUUUGGACCAGACACUGCUGUACAAGCCAGCCCACAGGGAGGACUGGGCAGACCUAGGCAACAAGGUCGGUACAGCCAUUGGAUUGACUCUGGGGGAUAGGGUGUCUUGUCCCAUGGACUGGAGCUGCUCAGCCAUACUGUAGGCAAAGUUAUCUCAACCACCAUGCUGAUCUGGGAUCCCCAGAGUAUUUUCUCAUAGAGUACCCAGUUUGCAAACAUGAGUCACUAGGCAGGAGGGGAUGAGAAUGGGGUUUGUCUAUCUUUCUGGGCGUGUCUUCCUGCUGCAUGGAGCUGCAAAUCAGUUGCUUGCCUCCAAGUUUGGCCAAACUUUGUGGAUAACCAGGCCCCCUGUCAAUGAGGAAUCAAAAUGCAGCUUCCACCCCCAGGCUGAAUCAGAAUACUCAUUUUCCCAGCAAGAUUUUCCCUGUGUAAUUAAUUUGUCAUAAAUACGCUGACAAAGCAUUGCUAGCAGUUAAUGGGGGCCAGAGGUGAAGGUCAAUGUUAGUCUCCUUGGGAAGGAAAUCUGCUCUCCUCCUCUCUGGGUGACCCCAGACAGGACUCCUCACUUGUGAGAUUUUACCAGGCAACCAAAAUUGGAUGCUUAGAGCAGGAAGAAGAGUCUACAGAGGGACUCACGGGCAUUUUGGCUUUGAAUGGCCGAAGCCUAGCUCCCCAGGCUCAGGCACAAUGGUGAAUGUAUUUGCUCAUGCAACUGGGGAAUCAAGGGACACUCAUGUUCAGGAAUGGUUGGAUCCAGAGGCUCAAGCCUUCCUUUCAGGCUUCUUUCUCUCCAGCUCUCUGCUCUCUGAUGAGUCUCUCUCCACAGGGCCCCAGCCACCGAAGGCUCAAAAAAAAAAAAAAAAACAAAACAAAACCCUGCAUGGGGAGUUGUGAGAAUCUGAAGCCUGAUACUGCACAGAAAACCUAUGAAGCCACUGGGUCUGGCCUGGAAUGGAAGGCUGAGUGAAUGUGGGAAAAAAUUUUCAAGUGGGAAAAAUGAAACCAAUAAGAUUUUUAAAAAUACAGUCGGUUAUGUAUGUGUGGGUUCUGAGGAUCGAAAAUAUCUGAAAAACAAGAUGACUGCAUCUGUACUAAACAC